UUGAUUUUAACUUUGCUUCGUUAAAUUAUAUAUCCGAACGUUUCAAGGAUAUAAAAGUACAUUACAUACGUUUGAUCAUUAUGAACAAAUUCUUUGUGCAGUCUUUUCAGCAAGAAACUGCAGAACCUUCUUCCUCAGAGUGCGAGAGACUACAAUUGUCAUUCACUCAUUCAUGUUUUUCAAUGCCAUUGCUCUCCAUACUAUUAUCUUCUUAACCAUCGUUAUAUGACAGCGAUUACAUAUUUCUGUGAUUUAUAUGUUUCUCACCUUUAGUUUUUAUUUAGAUUCUAAAAAUGACACCAGCUGACGGUAUUGCAGUUGGGAUGACAAGUAACAUGAUGGUAUGUGGUAUAUAAUUUUUUUGGCUUCUAACUGCAACAAAACGAAGUUAGAGAUGUGCAUAUACAAUACGUAUAUGUGAAAACCAUUAAUAAUUAUCGAAGGUUUCGAGAAUGAUUUACCUUUUGGUGAUGUAAGCUAUAUUACGUGUUGCAAACCAAAUCCUACAUGCGAAGCUGUAGCAGUCUGCCCAUGUAAAGCUUAUAAACGAACUUCAACAAGGAAAAUGCUUAAAGAUAUCAUCAGAAAAAGUUACUGGAAGCCGACGGCUAUUUCCCCGUCUAUCUCGUAUUUGCAUUUUAUUUUCAUCGAUGUUGUCAGUUAUAAUUGCAGUGA